CGGAAAAAUAAAUAUUAAAAUUCAGCUAAAAGGAACUGCUCCAAAUUGAUCUACAGUUGUCAUUGUCUUCGUAACCUUUGAACCCUCUCCAAAGGGGGGUGCUCCAAACAAAUCUCGUCUUGCAUUGUCAGCAGUAUUAUGAGUGGGCGGGGUAGAGGAACGUCCGUCAAAUGAAGUGCUACCAAAGUCAUCCGUAGGAAAUGGACUGCCAGUCUGUGAGGUGUGUGUGUGUGUGUGUGUGUGUGAGGGUGUGUGUGUGAGGGGUGGGAGGUUCAAUAAGCAGUAUAGAGUGGAGUCUAUCUAUUGUGGUCACCCUCUAUAAUACAGCCAGAUUAAUGGGCCCCAAAGUCUCCAUAGCAUGUGUUUGGACCUGUGUUAGCAGGCCACCCUCUAUAAUACAGCCAGGUUAAUGGGUCCCAAAGUCUCCAUAGCAUGUGUUUGGACCUGUGUUAACAGACCACCCUCUAUAAUACAGCCAGGUUAAUGGGUCCCAAAGUCUCCAUAGCAUGUGUUUGGACCUGUGUUAGCAGGCCACCCUCUAUAAUACAGCCACUGUUGGUCUGACUAGACAGACCACAUUCACAAAAUGCAAACCUUACUAGAGAAAACAUAAGUCAACCACUUAGCUACAAUGUACACAGUGGGACCACACAUAAAGAGGAAAUUUCGCCCCUUUCAGCCUUGUUUCUCAGUAAACAUAAUCAUUGCUCAGAUCCUCCCCCUUUUCAGAGAGGUGUCACAUUCCACCCCUUUCACAGUAAACAAAGCAAUUUGGUAGAAUGUCAUUGAAAGGUCAUAAUUAGUGAAAGGUCACCUCCAAUAGUACUGCCACAUGUCCAUACAUGCAUGGAUAAAUAAUUACAACAUACUGUAGUGUAAAAUACCACGACAAAUUAAAUGUCUGAGCCCAUGCCAACUCAGCUAUAUAGCCUAUGGUUGCUCAAUAUUGACCUCCCUCCACCAAUAAGGUCUAACACAUGGGCAAGCGAACAAAACAAUCAACCUCGUGAUUAUUAUCAGUAGCCUACAACAGGUGCCGUCUCUACAAAGCAUCUCCCCUCACCUCCAUCCUUUCAUGCAUUCAUCCAUUCUUAUCCUAUAGCACAGCCACUGGACUGGCACAUGCUGGCAGCAGAUCACAUUCACGCUGAGUAGGUAAUGGCAUAUGCUAGGCCACAUCAUAGAUAGUGGUAUGGCCUCAUCUUCAGUGCGGCCUGAGAUCGAGGCUAAAAGAUCCCCUUCCUCACACGUUUGUGACUUGUUGCAGUUCACCCACGUAGCGUGUCGUGCACAGAGUCAUGGAGUAUGUUCUCAAUCUGAAUCAAAAUCAGUGGAAAUAAUUAUAAUCAUGUGAGCUUAAAUGCUUUGUAAUAUUGAAUAACCGUGAUUUCAAUGGAUUGUACAGGCCUUGAAAUACAAAAAUACGCUCGCAAAAAUAGCAUUAAUCAUCAUUUAUUUCUAGCUCUACGGUAUCAUCAACUAUUGGAUAGAGCUAUUGGAUGAUACUUUAUACUCUAAUAAAGGUAGCGCUCACCUUUCCCCUGAGUCAGAGUGUUGGUCCAUUGUGUCCAGUGCACCGUGCUAGCUAGUAGGACCACUCCAAUGGAUGUGCUCUCAGAGUAUUAGAACUGUAAUGAAUGCACCACAUGGCCAGUGGGUAAAGGAUCGUCAAACCAUUAGACAAAAUAUGGAUCAUUUUGUAGAUUUGAUAUACUUUACCAGACACAAUCACACACACAAGAUGGAGACGGCUGGGGAGGAAAAGCGUUCACUUGUCCUUCCCUCUAGGAGCUUCAACAAGGCUGGAUAUCGGGUGGAUACUCCUCCAAAAGACCAGCAGCAAUGGAUCACGAGGCAAAGAGCAGCGAAGCGAGUACAAUGAUGGAGAGAACGAGAGGGACGGAGUCAGUGACCAGUUGCUAUGACAACAUAUGAUGGAAGAGUUACAAGGUGACACUGUAGAGUUUGCGUACGACCCAUUGGACGUCUUGCACUGCAGAUAAAGGAACACAAUUAAGAAAUAAUUCUUGAGGGUCAGUUGUUCCCUCUGUUGGAUGCUGAUGAUGAUCCAGCCAUUGGACGUCAGAGAAAAAUACAAUCGACCUAAGAAACAGUGAGUACUGCCGCGUGCAGAGUGUGACUCUUUCCCUGACCAAACUUUGAUCUGAGCAUAUUCAUGUGAUAGGCCUUAUCUAACAGUGCUUGGAAUAGUUAUUCGCUGUACUCCCCCCUAGUGUUUACGUUCCCGUGGGUGGGUUCAAUUCACUAGCAAUAGUUUUGCGUUCCCGUGAGUGGGUUCAAUUCACUAGCAAUAGUUAUACGUUCCCGUGGGUGGGUUCAAUUCACUAGCAAUAGUUUUGCGUUCCCGUGGGUGGGUUCAAUUCACCAGCAAUAGUUUUGCGUUCCCGUGAGUGGGUUCAAUUCACUAGCAAUAGUUUUGCGUUCCCGUGAGUGGGUUCAAUUCACUAGCAAUAGUUUUGCGUUCCCGUGAGUGGUCACUAGCAAUAGUUUUGCGUUCCCGUGAGUGGGUUCAAUUAAUUCACUAGCAAUAGUUUUACGUUCCCGUGAGUGGGUUCAAUUCACUAGCAAUAGUUUUGCGUUCCCGUGAGUGGGUUCAAUUCACUAGCAAUAGUUUUACUUUCCCUUGAGUGGGUUCAAUUCACUAGCAAUAGUUUUAAGUUGCCGUGAGUGCAUGGGUUCACUUCACUAGCAAUAGUUUUACGUUCCCGUGAGUGGGUUCAAUUCACUAGCAAUAGUUUUACUUUCCCUUGAGUGGGUUCAAUUCACUAGCAAUAGUUUUACGUUCCCGUGAGUGGGUUCAAUUCACUAGCAAUAGUUUUACUUUCCCUUGAGUGGGUUCAAUUCACUAGCAAUAGUUUUAAGUUGCCGUGAGUGCAUGGGUUCACUUCACUAGCAAUAGUUUUACGUUCCCGUGAGUGGGUUCAAUUCACUAGCAAUAGUUUUACGUUCCCU